rfam:Biomphalaria glabrata isolate BB02 unplaced genomic scaffold LGTN_random_Scaffold191, whole genome shotgun sequence.
GUGCUUGUAGCUCAAUUGGACAGAGCGUUUGACUACGGAUCAAAAGGUUACGAGUUCAACUCUUGUCAAGCACG